rnacentral:rRNA from 1 species
GAGAUAGAGCUUUCCUUCGGGGACAAAGUGACAGGUGGUGCAUGUUGUCGUCAGCUCGUGUCGUGAGAUGUUGGGUUAAGUCCCGCAACGAGCGCAACCCUUAUUGUUAGUUGCCAUCAUUAAGUUGGGCACUCUAGCGAGACUGCCGGUGACAAACCGGAGGAAGGUGGGGAUGACGUCAAAUCAUCAUGCCCCUUAUGACCUGGGCUACACACGUGCUACAAUGGACAGUACAAUGAGCAGCGACACGGCGACGUGAAGCGAAUCUCAUAAAGCUGUUCUCAGUUCGGAUUGUAGGCUGCAACUCGCCUACAUGAAGCCGGAAUCGCUAGUAAUCGCGGAUCAGCACGCCGCGGUGAAUACGUUCCCGGGCCUUGUACACACCGCCCGUCACACCACGAAAGUUUGUAACACCCGAAGUCGGUGAGGUAACCGCAAGGAGCCAACCGCCUAAGGUGGGAUAGAUGAUUGGGGUGAAGUCGUAACAAGGUAACCAAGGGCGAAUUCCAG